GGAACUACGAUUACAAGUAUUUUAAGGUCUACAUUUCCUGAGGAUCCGCCGGUGUCGGGGCGAAACGUGCGUGGAGUGGUUUUGG